CCUCAACGGCGCCACGCCAUUGGCCGACGCCGCCCCACGUGCCCUAACGCUCCGCAGCGUCGCCCCGCCCACUGCGCGGCCUGUCCCCACCCCCUCGGUGCCCGGCGGCUCGUGUGCGGCCCAUUUGCCCAGGUCUGGAGGGUUUGGCGGGGCCGGCAGGAAGGAAGCCGCGGAGCGGACGCGGUGGGCGUGUGGGAUAGAGACGACGCGGGUGACCAGGUCGCAGCCGCUGGGCGUGGGCAGGGCGGAGAGCGGAGGACACUGAGGAGCCGGAGUGCACAUGUGAAACGUAUGGCCACUGUUCUGCAGCCGUCCAGGCACGAAAGGUGCUGUCCCGUGAGCCGGCUCGCGGCGACACUUGUGCAGAGCCGGGGAGGCCCGGGACCGCGCGAGCGGCGGUUUCCUUUGGCCAUUAGGCCCCGCCCACGAGGGCAAUUCCGCCGGCUCUAGGACAGGCUCCGCCCACCGCAUGCCUCGGGGGCGGGUCCACUGAGGCUCCGCCCACGGGCCCCACACCUCUCCCUUCGUCCCCGCCCACGCAAGCAAAGGCGCUCGGUCCCGAGCAGGCUCCACCCACCGCGGUCCAGGGUGGAGACCACCGAGUCCCCAGGAGCCCACGUGCCAAGGUUCACGCAAGACCCACCCCCAAGGCCAAGCCGGCUUCCCCGGCAUAGGCACCGCCCACCUUACGUCUUGGGGACUGGAUCCACCGGGGCCGCGCCCGUUUGCUGCGCAUCUACCUGCACGCCCCGCCCAUCGGCCCGGCCCACCGAAGCAAGCCGGCUCUUUCCCGGUUCUGCUGCAACUGGGCGACCCUGGACCGUUGGGAUUUUUGUGGUCUGAUUUGCAUAUGGUCAUAAGUCUGUAAGAAAACUGCAUCAUAGAGACCAGGGAUCACUCGAUUCUCUGCCUUCCCUGGUAGCUCUUUAUCGAGGGAACAGGCUUAGCUCUCUAAUUCGCUACUUCCACUGACCUUUAUUGGACAUCCCAUAUUGAUGGAGCGCGCUAGCAAGUAGACGCUCGCUCACUCGGAUGAUUUAGGAGCUGCCUUCGUCGAACCCAGGGCCUUGAGCAUGCCAGGCAAAUGCCAGGUCCCUCAGCUACAUACAUGCUCAGCCUAAGGCAGUGUAUUUUUUUUUUUUUUUUCUUUUGAGACGGUUUCUCUGUAUUGCUUUGGAGGUUGUCCUGGAAGUCGCUCGGUAGCCCAGGCUGGCCUCGAACUCAUAAUCCUCCUGCCUCUGCCUCUUUCAGCAAAUCCCACUGGCGUGUGCCACCACAACUGGCCAGUGUAUCCUCUUAACCCUUGUUUUUGUUUUGUUUUGUUUUGCCUUUGAAAAUGCCAAGCAAAGCAUUUCGGUUGUUCUCCCCAAAGUGCUGUACGAGAAAACAAACAAGAUCUGAAGGUGCUGAGGGAGGUUCUGAGAGUUUUGUCUGAGGGUGCACCUAGAUAAAAGUAAGCUUCAGGUAGGCAUGCCAGGCCAGAACGGUCGUAUUUGCAGAAGAAACCAUGAUUUCUCUCUUAAGUGGGCUAAUAAUUUCUCUAAAACAAAUGGUUAAAGCACAAAAAAACAAAAACAAACAAAAAAACAGUGCCUGGUAUUAAUUUGACAUUAACAAAAACAAAACAAAAACAAAUGCAACUUAGCAUGGUACAAAUCCCAAUCAGAAAGGAGUAGAUCUGAAGCUAUUGCAUUUGGGCCAUGGAAUGAAAAGGAGUGUGGGCUUCUCAGAGAUUAAGUCAGUGCUGCCAAAGUCCCCGUACCACCGUGCAUGGUCCAGAGUGGCACAUCCUUGAUCCGUUUGACAGACACUUGGCUGUACAUCCCCGAUGCAAACCACUGCACAAAAAACUUUCCUUUUUGGUGGCAGGGAGUCUCCCUUGUCCUCUGGUAAUUUGCAGGCCUGGAUGGAAACAAGAAACCCUGUGUCACCCUGCAGGAGACAAGUCUGCAAGGGAAGCGGUGGGGAUGGUAUAGCCCAGGACACAAUAAAGUGGGGUGCAGGAUGUUUUGCUGCUGGAGAGGAGAUGGGAAGGACAGUCUCUGAUUGGACGGGAACGGCUUGCUGGGGAGCUGGGCUUGCCUCCCAGUGCAGCGAGGAUGCUAGAGUUUAGCUGGAUAUGAACACCUUUUCAUUUCCUCAAGACGGGAACAUGUCAUCCUGCCAGGAGGCUCUCUAAACAGGAAGGGCUUCCCGUGCUCCUAAGCCAGCUGGAGCGCAAGACAGCCCAGGAGGACCUUUCCUGUUGAGGACCAAAAACAUGGCCAAAAGCCUGGAACUUGGAUCUUGAGGGUCCUUUGGGUAGAGAGGAAUCGGGGCAGGGAGGGGGUGGCAGAAUGGCAGAGUUUGGAAAGGGCAGACUAUGGUUUGUGUGUAGACUUAGCCGAGAACUCUUCCCCUCCACCCCCAGACAGGGUUUCUCUGUGUAGCUUUGGAGCCUGUCCUGGAACUCAUUCUGUAGACCAGGCUGACCUUGAACUCACAGAGAUCCGCCUGCCUUGGCCUCCCAAGUUGUGCGCCACCAACGCCCGGCUUAGCCUCAAACUCUUUAAAGGAGUGGUUCUUAAGAUGGGUACCAUUGUCCCCUAGGGUCCACUGGGCAGUGUCUGGAGGCAAUUUGGGUUGAUGCAACUGGGUGGGUGAGGUGCUGUCACCGUCCCAUGGAUAGAGGCCAGGAUCACCUCGAACCUUCCCGUGGUAUACAGGGUGGCCCUACCAGGAAGUGUCUUCCAGCCCCAAAGUCAGCAGUACAGCAAUAUAGAAACGCUGGUCUAAACUCAGGCAAAAGGGAUGUGAUGCCAUUGGUCCUGCCCUCUCUGGUGGUCACCAGGUGUCACAGACAACUGUGGUGCGGAAGCCAGAACCUUGGGCACAGACUUUAUUUAGGAGGAUAUUGUUCACCUGAAUGGACCCGAAGCUGGCUGGACAUGCUUCACACCCCACCUUCCUGUUGUCUCCUCGGCUGCCAGUAUAACUUGGAGACCUGACUGUUCCUGGGAAAGCUGAGCCUAGCCCCUGCUCAGGGGAACAGGGUUCCCUCCAAGGUUACUCUUGGUCUGGGGAGGACCGGAGGGAGAGGCUGAUUUGUGUAUGUUCCAGAUUCUGAGUUGUGAGGGAGAGGUACUGAGUAAGCCUUUCCAUUGCCACCAUGUAUGAGAAUGCACAAGACGGAAUUUGCAGCAUUGUAAGCUUUGUUUCUCUUUCAUUUUUACUAUAGUGCUGUGGAGGGAUAUUUUUUCAGGCUGACUUUUUGUGACUUCCCAGAGCUGUGCUGAGUAAAACUCCAGGAAUAUUAACUAUACUGCUUACCACCAACACAUUUUGCCUCAAUUAUUGUGAAGACAUCCGUUAUCCAAAUGAAGACACUUUUUGAGGCACUGGGACUUGGGACAGAAACAGUUCAGCUCUGUUACAUGAUAUUUUCCUCUGUAUUGAAAUAGUCCCUCAGAAAGGGAGAAGGAAGGCUGAAGAGGCUCAUGACCAAGAAACAGAGACUCAAAAAACCCCUCUCCAGGGUUCCAUAAAAAUCAACUGCUGGGGUAGAGUCUUCAGUGGCAGUGUGGCAGUGAACUCCAGGGACACGUUUUUCUUGAGCCAUCACCCAUGCUAGCUAGGGUGGGCUUUCUGGUGAUGCACCUGCCUGAGAAUCAUUCUUACUCAUGUAUUUAACUGUUCAUGUAUGUAACCCCAAAAAAACUCAAUGGUUCACCAAGAUCAGCUUGGUCAGAAUUAUUUCUUUGGUCUGUUUUUAUCACCAGUAUGUACCACAGCAGCAGAGGCUAUCUUGUGCCAGGAACUCUGAAGUUGUCCAGGGGCAAGGUGUUGGCAGUGUCUUUCCUUCUGGAGACUAUAAGAUCAGGUUCAAAGUCACAUGACCAGGAAGAGCUCCUUGCAUUGUAGUUUGUUUUUUUGUUUUUGUUUUUUUUUUAAAGAUUUAUUUAUUAUUAUGUAUACAGUAUUUGGUCUGCAUGUAUGCCUCCAGGCCAGAAGAGG
rnacentral:lncRNA from 1 species